AACCCCGACUUCGGAAGGGGUGUAUUUAUUAGAUAAAAACCCAAUGCCCUUCGGGGCUCUUUGGUGAUUCAUAAUAACUUAACGAAUCGCAUGGCCUUGUGCCGGCGAUGGUUCAUUCAAAUUUCUGCCCUAUCAACUUUCGAUGGUAGGAUAGUGGCCUACCAUGGUUUCAACGGGUAACGGGGAAUUAGGGUUCUAUUCCGGAGAGGGAGCCUGAGAAACGGCUACCACAUCCAAGGAAGGCAGCAGGCGCGCAAAUUACCCAAUCCCGACUCGGGGAGGUAGUGACAAUAAAUACUGAUACAGGGCUCUUUUGGGUCUUGUAAUUGGAAUGAGUACAAUUUAAAUCCCUUAACGAGGAACAAUUGGAGGGCAAGUCUGGUGCCAGCAGCCGCGGUAAUUCCAGCUCCAAUAGCGUAUAUUAAAGUUGUUGCAGUUAAAAAGCUCGUAGUUGAACCUUGGGCCUGGCUGGCCGGUCCGCCUCACCGCGUGCACUGGUCCGGCCGGGCCUUUCCUUCUGGGGAGCCGCAUGCCCUUCACUGGGUGUGUCGGGGAACCAGGACUUUUACUUUGAAAAAAUUAGAGUGUUCAAAGCAGGCCUAUGCUCGAAUACAUUAGCAUGGAAUAAUAGAAUAGGACGUGUGGUUCUAUUUUGUUGGUUUCUAGGACCGCCGUAAUGAUUAAUAGGGAUAGUCGGGGGCAUCAGUAUUCCGUUGUCAGAGGUGAAAUUCUUGGAUUUACGGAAGACUAACUACUGCGAAAGCAUUUGCCAAGGAUGUUUUCAUUAAUCAGUGAACGAAAGUUAGGGGAUCGAAGACGAUCAGAUACCGUCGUAGUCUUAACCAUAAACUAUGCCGACUAGGGAUCGGGCGAUGUUAUCUUUUUGACUCGCUCGGCACCUUACGAGAAAU
rnacentral:rRNA from 1 species